GGAUCUGUUUUUUGCAGGAUCCCGCAUGCGGGAUGCUCGUGUGCAUGCUAGUAAAUAAACACAUUUGUCAUCAAACGGGAUCCUGUAAAAAACUGGACUGCC
rnacentral:pre_miRNA from 1 species